ACAUGCCCACACCUGUGGCUUCUGAAGCAGAGCACCAGCAGUGACAGUCCCACCAGAACCGCAUGGAAUAGAAAACUGUGCAUUUCCCUAAGGAAAGGGAAUGCCAGAGAAGGGCAGAAGGGAAAUCAGGAAGACAAAACGUGUCUUCAUGUUGGAGUGGACCUUUCCUCUAUCUGUCAACAGAAUGGAUAAAUUGUGGAAGAGUAAUAUCAGAAUACUACACAUCAGUAAAAAACAACAAACUUCUGCUACAAACAAUCAACAUCGAUGAAUCUUUCAGGCAAAAGGUUAUAGAAACAGAUGAUCAGUGGCCCACGGAUUCCAGGUGAGGAUCUGGGACCCAGACAUCCAGAUAUUGAAAACACAGGGAUGGAGUCUGUAUGGAAAAAAUUAAAAUAUAGCAAAAUGUGAAAUACGGAAGAGAAAUCUUUCAAUUUCCCAAUGGAAGUGAGAAAAGAGCAAAGAAAAGUAUUGGUCUUCCAAAACAAAUAGAGGACGGAGCUGCUGCUGUUGCAUGGUGUCUAGAAACUCAGACAACUUCAUCAUUCCAUAUUUGC
rnacentral:lncRNA from 1 species